GAGCGCGUGGAUUAGAUACCUAUUAACUAUGAGGACAUGGUUUCGCGCAUCACGCUACGGAGCAUUAACCGGUUUUGAUCCUCCCAUCAGUCAUCGACUCAGCGCUUAUAACGCAGUUCUCCGUAGCGCGGUGGGAAUCGUUCUUGGUUCUGUCUACAUAAUACGUCCAAAGCCAAACCCUUUUCAACCAACCGACACCAGCGCUUCAAGCUUACGGUACUUUACAAACAACAUCAGCGCAGCAGCCUGCGUAUGAGUAUGUAACGCCGCCAACACGAGUCUUCUUUGUGGCCUG
rnacentral:lncRNA from 1 species